UCAGACGAUGCGUCAUGCAUAUCAAUAAGCGGAGGAAAAGAAACUAACAAGGAUUCCCUUAGUAACGGCGAGUGAAGCGGGAAGAGCUCAAAUUUGAAAUCUUAAAGGGUUCUACCUUGACGAAUUGUAGUUUAAAGAAGUGUUUUCUGUUAGGAGUUUUCGGUAAAAGUUCUUUGGAAUAGGACAUCAUAGAGGGUGAGAAUCCCGUAUUUGACCAGUUAUUUCCAGCUUUGUGAUACACUUUCAAAGAGUCGGAUUGUUUGGGAAUGCAGUCCAAAAUGGGUGGUAAAUUUCAUCUAAAGCUAAAUAUUGGCGAGAGACCGAUAGUGAACAAAGUACCGUGAGGGAAAGAUGAAAAGAACUUUGAAAAGAGAGUUAAACAGUACGUGAAAUUGUCAAAAGGGAAGCGUUUGACACCAGUGUUGUUUUCUCGAAAAUCAAUUAAAAAAGGCAGGAUUUUGUGUUGUAUUGACUUUAUCAGCUUUCUGCACUCUUUUCUUGUCUUUUUUUAAUGCACUUUUCGUUUAACAAGUCAACAUCAAUUUCUUUUGUUGUAAAAGGGUCAUUGGAAGGUGGCUUUCUUUUCGGAGAAAGUGUUUAUAGCCUUUUACCUCUGCAAUCGGAGAGAUUGAGGUCUGCAGCGUAGAUCCUUCGGGGUUAGAUACAUUUGUGCUAAGUUAUAGCCUUUCAUAGACAACUUGUUGACUAUGAUCAGUCAUGUAGCUUACUCGCUUAUGCUAUUUUACCUACGCUUAGGAUGUUGAUCUACAGAGCGAGAGU
rnacentral:rRNA from 1 species